rnacentral:misc_RNA from 1 species
CUUGGAAAACUUUGCGUUUGCUGCCAAGAAAAGGCCUUGCCCACUCAACUAAAUUUUGUUCUCUGUAUAGGCUUGCUUUUGUCUAUGGCUCGCCUGCCAGAUAAAAUUUCAAGAAGAACAACCCCGAAACUGUAUGUGUCACUCUUUGCAGUUAGAUGACCUGUGGCUAUAUACUCUGGUGCGGCAUACCCAUAGGUACCCAUUACUCGCGUCGAAACAUGGCUCUUACUACCAGUUGGCCCAUACUUGGCCAACCAAAAAUCGGAGAGUUUGGCAUUAUAGUUUGAAUCAAGAAGAAUAUUAGAAGCCUUAAGGUUUCGAUGUAUCACUUUGGCCUCAUCACUAUGGAGAAAUGAUAGACCCUUAGCAGCAUCAAGGGAAAUCUUAAUUCGGAGGUUCCAAGAGAGCGGUUGACCAUGAGAUCUUCUAAAGAGGUGAUUCUCCAAGCUGCCCCUUGGCAUGAACUCAUAAACCAGAAGCCGAUGGUCAUCUUCUAAGCAGUAUCCGAUCAAUUUCACAAUAUUUGGAUGAUGAAGCUGCUCGAGAAAGAAGAUUUCCGUCAGCCAUUCCUGAUGACCCCAGACGCCCUCUUGGUUAAGCCUCCUCACAGCAAUGGCCAUGCCGGUUGGAGGCCUGACAGGUGUUAGAGAAUGCUCAUCAAUCCAUCCUUUGUAAACACA